rnacentral:tRNA from 1 species
UCUAAAAUAGUCUAAUAAAGAUAUAAAAUUUAGAAUUUUAAGAUGUUUAACUUUUAGAA